GUAGGUGUAACAUGAUUCUAUACUAUCCAUGCAGCUGAUGCAGCUACUCAUGGCGGUGGUUACAAUAAUGACGGACACCACGGCGGUGGAGGUGGACACCAUGGCGGUGGAGGUGGAGGACACCAUGGCGGUGGAGGUGGAGGCCACCAUGGCAGUGUAAGCUACAAUAAUGACGAACAUCACGGUGGUGGUGGUGGUGGAGGUGGAGGUUACGGCUAUGGCGGACACUGCCAUCAUGGACAUUGCCAUCGUGGAUACUGCUAUCGUGGACACUGCUAUCCUAGACGCUGCUAUCGUGGACACUGCCGUCAUGGUGAGGUGGUGGAGGCAGAGACUACCGAAGCCAAGCCUCACAACUAGAGGAUCGGAGGAGUAUUUGAUGCUGUUAAUGCACUCCUUAUAGUUGGUGAAUAAUGCACGGAUAAUACAUACGUACUGCUACUGCUUCGUCGAGUGUAGUAUAACAAUAUGUAAAAUAAAAGCAUGCAUGAUCACUCCUUAUGUCAUUGGAUCUUCAGUGGUACUGAUGCCAUUUAGAUGGAUAGUCAUGAUAGUAAUUAAUUAUUACUGUAUGUGUCUGCAUUUUCCUUUAAAGUGAUGUAAUUAUAAUUAAUUAAGGAGUGCUAUUUCUAUUUCAUAAUUCUAUUAUAAUGAUGUAUAAUUCUAUCUCCUGUCUCAUGCAUCAUUGUACGACGGUCAUAUUACAAAUAAAUAAUGANNNN
rnacentral:lncRNA from 1 species